rnacentral:rRNA from 1 species
CCUACGGGAGGCUGCAGUAGGGAAUAUUCGGCAAUGAGCGAGAGCUUGACGCAGCGACAUCGCGUGAGGGAGUAAUGCCCUCUGAGUUUUAAACGUCGUUGUACGGGAAGCAAAAGCCGAACGUGUCCUGCUUUGAGCUUGCCGGAAGAAAAAGCGUCGGCUACCUCCGUGCCAGCAGCCGCGGUAGUGCUAAGGCUGAGAGCGUUAUCCGGAUUUAGUGGGUUUAAAGGGUGCGCAGGCGGAUUUUUAAGUCAGCGGUAAAAUCGUGGGGCUCAACCCCAUCCAGCCGUGGAAACUGGGGAACUAGAGUGUGCGAGAGGUAUGCGGAAUGCGUGGUGUAGCGGUGAAAUGCAUAGAUAUUACGCAGAACCCCGACUGCGAAGGCAGCAUACCGGUGAAAAACUGACGCUCAGGAACGAAAGCGUGGGGAUCGAACAGGAUUAGAUACCCCUGUAGUC